GGAGGAGGAAUGGGAUGAGGAACUGUAGGAGGGAUGACUGGGUUUGGGGGAGGGUCAUGACUGGAUUGUAAAUAAAACAAAUAAAAAUAUAUUUUAGAACUAUAAAUGUUUAGUCAGUUAAUUAGCAUAAGGGCAUUGGAAUAUGAAAUUGCAAUAUAAAGUGCAUGGUAAUCAAUCACUUAGAUUGAUCAGGCUUACAUGGACUGUCUCCCAAGGGUAUUGCAGCUUCUUCUUUCUGCUUCCUCACCCACUGUCUUCCUGUGUAGCUCAGGCUAGCCUUGAACUCUUUUGAUCCUCUAGCCAGACUUACUCUCCUGAGUGGUGGGAUUAUAGGUGAAAGCCAUGACAGCUGGCUCUUACAUGUCAUCUUUAAUAUUAAAAAAUAAUACUUUGAUAAAGAAAAAAACAAAAUUUAAAUUUCUUUGUGUUUUUUUUUAAGACAUGCCACCAAGUCCCUUUCUUUUGAACUAUUCAUUUUUAAUUUGGAAAUGAUCCCUAAUAGCUCAUCAUUUUUUCCAAGCCUAUACACAUAUGUAUUUUUGUGGGAUUCCCACAGUUUCCCUUUUGAGAUUCUUACUAAUACGUGAUAUAUUUGUAAGGAUUGGGGUACUUAUAAUUUGUGAAAUCAGCAUGUAUCCAGUGUUUCCUCACUUUCCUUCAGCUAUGGCACUGUAGAGUAUGGAUAGGACUCCAGCUCUGCACACAGGAGGUCUGCUUAUUCCCAUUCACCCCCAUAGCUCUCAGGUCUCAGCUGGAGUGGUCUCAGCUGGAAUUCUGCUCCAUUCCUAUGACUGUAAAACCAUAACAAUGCCCCUGCCUUGCCAACAUCUUACCCCACAGGCUGGCUGCCUCCACCUUCCCGGGGCAGGCAAGACCACUAUCAUGCCCAGUGGAGUUUCAGUUCUGGCAAUUUGCCACCUAGGUCUGGCACAACUCAUGCCACAGAGGUCUUGGUUUCCUCAGAGACUUCCUUACACAUAAAAAUCUGGAAUGUGCAAACCUUCACCGUGACCACAGCAUAGCAGAGAGGAAAAGCUUUAAGGUAUACAGCUUCAUUCCAUCUUCUUUACUUUUUAUUUACUACUAUGCUUUACUUAUGUGUAUAUGUGCACUGCAUGGGUUUAUAUGCAUUUCAUGCAUCCUGUAGCCUGUAGAGGCCAGAGAUGGUGUUGGAUCACCUAGUGCUGGAGUUACAGGUGGUUGCGAGCCACCAUGUAGGUGCUGGGAUCCAAACCAAAGUCCUUCACAAGAGUAGCAAAUGUUCUUACAAGACAUUCCUUACCCUCUGCCUUUUAGGCACUGGAUCUUCAAGGUCUAAUGCCAUGUGGUGUUAUUUUGCAAGAUAUGGGAGAACAUUCAACUCUAAUGCUACACAGUCUGUCUGAGAGAGAUUCUGAAAUGGCAAAAAAAGUGUGCUUGCUUAGGAGAAAGAAUUCAAAAACUGCCAGAAAGUAGUUGAAUCCAAAGUCAAAUAAGCAUGGCAUAGUCUAAUAUACGCUCUUUGGUUUAAUUUGCCACACACAGGCUCAAGGCAGAGAAAGCAUCUUUAAAUAAGAUGCUAAGACUCUCCAAAUGAGUCUCUGAAAGUGGCAAAACAUGAUCUUGAAGAUGUUAACUCUAGAGAAGAGGUGACAUAUUCCUAGAACUUAUUCUUCUUUUAUGAAGUCUACAGUCAGAAAGACUCUUAUAAUUCUAUAGGUGGACAGACUCAUACAAUCUGAAUGGCAGCACUGUUUUGGGGAGGGUCCUACUCAAUUGUAGGAUGGGCAUUAUAAAAGGCCAAAGGAUGGGGCGAGGCAAAGGAAAUGGAGUAAGAUAAGGUACUUUUUAGUUGCUGGGACAAAACACCAGGACCAAAGUAACUUAUAAGAGAAAAGUGUUUGCAUUGCGGCUCAUGGUUCUGGAGGGUAAAAUAGAGUUCAGGGCAUCGUGGCAAAAAGCACGGCAACGGGCAGACUGGCGUGGUGCUUUGGUGGUAGCUGAGAGUCUGCAUCAUGAUUCAUAAGAAUAAGGCAGAGAGAGCUAACAGGAUGCUGCUAAAGAAGGACAAAGCACUGGCCUUUCUUCCCACGCCGAGGUACUUCCAUUUACACUCACAGGCAAUGAGAAGCACUGGGGCCUCCUGAGCUGGGGAACGAGAGAGUUGUAUAUAUUUCCAGCACAUUAACAAAGCAGGAUGAAGAGGAGCAUGCCAGUCAGGCUGUGGCAGAGGAUAGUGUCCUAUUUUAUAGAGGUAGGAAGGGCUAGCGGAGCACAGACAACGGAGAUAUGGAGAGACUAAGACUUGAGUAAAAACAAGUGAACUUCAUCAUAGAUUGGAAGGUGAGCUUAUGAGUUGGGUUGUUAGUGUCUCUCCUUUCUCUCUUCUCUCUCCUUUCUUCCCUCUCUCUCCCUUCUCUUUCUCUUUCCUUCUUCAGAGGUAGCUGGGGUCCUGAGCUAAUGGGUAAUUUCUCUUUGGCAAGCAGGAUCUCACAUCAGAUUUCUGCUCUGAAAAGAACUCAUGAAAUAUGGGAAAAUGGAAAAGAAAGAAAUCCUGUUAUUACUCAGCAGCGAUGAGUAAGCAAAUGAGUACUGGCAAUUGGCAGGAUGGGCUUUUGCCAGGACUACUGCAAAACCCCUUGAGAAUCUUUGGUGCGAUGGACAGCUGAGAUCUUUGGCAGGAGUUCAUCAGAAUUCCUAAAAUUUGUUUUCCUAAUCGCUGGCAGUGGUGUGUCUGGCCUCUGCUGCUUUUGUGCUUACAAUAGAUUCCUGAAUUUCCUAAUUCCCCGUGUUAAAUCAUUUUCUGAUGUAAGAGUCUCAUGUGUAGCUCAGAAGUAGGGAGCUUGUUCAACAUCAGUAAGGCCUGAAGUUGAUUACCAGCCCACCAGAGGGAGGGAGGUAUGGAUAGAAGGGGAGGGAAGGAGGGAAAGGAGGAGGUGUACACACACACACACACACACACACACACACACACACACACACACACACACACAGAAUCUAGAAUGGUUUCCAUUUCAUUGCUGGAAUAAGACAAUACUAAGUUUCUAUCUUCAGUAACCAAAUGGAUGGAAAAUUAGAGAUUUCGUUCAUUCAGCGUUCAUUAUUUGUUAAACAUCUACUGUGAGUUCAGGCAUUGGAAUCAGAAGCAAGUUACAGUUACAAUGCCAGUCUCCUGCCCUCAAUGGAGGCUUACUUUCUAGAGAUAAAAAAAUAACACAAUAAACCAAUACUUAAAUGUCAGAGAGUAAUGCUAGGAAGAAAAUAACAGAUGAUCAGAUGAAGGAAAACAUAUAAGUGGUAGUAUGACCUAGACUGAGUAGAGAAAAAAGCCUCCUAAGGAGGUCACAUUUGAUCCUGAAAGACACACACAACAAGGGACAAGAAGGGAAGUGUUAGGAGUCAAACAAGCCUGAGGGUGAGAGAGAAAUAUCAUGGAAGGCCUGCUUGGCUCUGGUUCAAUACUUGAAAUAAGACACGAGGAUGUUUAACCAACUGGCAAUAUCCUUAGAUCCAGGAUUUUUUCUUUUUUAAUGUACUAGAGAAACAAGCUCUGUAGCAAAUGGAAAAGCAGUGAUUUUGGAUAAGUGAUGCGCCACUCAGACCUGCCAUCUGCAUGGAGCUGGACAGAAGUGUCCUUUAGGAAAGACCCGGCAUUCAGUAAGGGACGUGGGAGGAGUUUGUUCAGAAGUAAGACAUCAAAGCCAAGAGUCUAUGCGACAACAAGGGAUCUGCGACUAUGCACGACACACCCAAUAAGGGCAGCUGGAAGAAGAGGCACCUACCAUGUCAGGGAGAGAGCAGGGAGAAUUUGGGUUGGGACUACAAAAUUCAGUUGUGGGGGAAAAAAAGAAAACAGGAGCUAAAGCACAAUUGGUUGAGAGCAGGAACGGAUUUCUGUGUUUGCAGCUCUUGUUUAUUAUUGUAUUAGAUCUCCUCAGCAAGGCAAUAGGGAGAGAACAGACACUCAGGUGGGAAGAGACCCUUAGCUGCCUCCAUUCACAGAGAACAAGCUAUCCAAAAAGGAUAUCUCAGAGAAUACUCAAGAGCUCUGAGAGAUAAUGCCUGAGUUUAAUAAGAUUGCAGGAUGUACACUGAAUGCAUAUAAACACACCAGAAGUGUGCAUAAUAGCAAUAGACAACUGAAAAUAAAAGUAUCAGUUGCAGUCACACCCAAAAGUAAAUACCCAGAGGUAAAUUUAAAACUGUUCCAAGUUUUAUAUAAUUAAAACUAAACUAUUAAGCCAGUGGUGCACACUUUUAAUUUCAGUGCUCAGGAACAAACAACAACAAACUAACAAAACCAAAACCAACCAAACCAAAAUAAUCCCCCAACAACUAAGUUAUUUAUUAUAGCUAAAAAUAUGUGUAUUAAAGACACUAAAGCAGACAUAAAUGAGCGGGGAGGUAUAUCAGGCUCUUGGAUGAGACAAAUAGUUGACUUUGAGCUAUCUAUUCUCUCCAAACAAAUCUAGACUCAGUGUAAUAAGAUACAAUUAAAAAAAAUGUCUAUUUCUAUCAACAUGCCAACAAGUUAUCUUGAGAGAUUAAUGAGUUGAUUCUAAAUCUGUGUGGAAAAUCAGAGGAAAUAGAAUAGCCUUAAUGAAUUUAGAAAAGAGAAGAUCCAAGUUAAGGGGACAUGUAAUCUGAUGUCAAAGUUUACUCUAACGCUGCUCUGUCUGAGGGUGCGGAGGUGGCUCAGUGGGUGCAUGCUUGCUAUGCAGAAACCCUGGAGAGCUGGCAGCAGUAGCUUCCCCCUGUGUUCUAGCUCACAGUUCUGUUGCUGAGACAAAAACAACCUGACCCAAACCUACUUACAGGAAGAAAGGCUUAUUUCAUCUUAAAGUCCCAGGUCACCAUGAUCAUUGAGGGAAGUCGAGAGAGGAACUCAAGGCAGGAACCAUGUUGAAAUUGUGCCUGCUGGUUGGCUCUUCAGUUUAUUCUUAGCUAGAUUUUUAACAUAACCCAGGACCACCUCCUUAGGGAUGGUGGAACACACAGUGGGAAGAGGUCUCCAGCUUCGAUUAAUAAUCAAGAUAGUUCCCUACAGACAGGCCCACGAGCUCAUCUGAUCCAGACAAUUCCAUGAUCAAGGCUAUGUUAGCUUUAAUUGUCUACUUUCAAGUGUGUAUGAUAACAAAAAAUUUAAACAUUCUAGAAAGGGGGAAAAAUUCUUAUAUGGAGUUUGUUGGGUAGGGUGGAAACUUACUAUAAUUGGUUAUAAGGCUGUUUUUAUAGAGCAAUAAAAUGUUCUAAUCUUUCCAUGCUAGAAGUUUCAUGAUUUAAUCAAAUUUCAAAUUUUAUAUCUACAUCUCAAAAGAAUGAAUGUCUAUAAAUUACAUGUUUAUAAUUUUGUACUGCUUGUUUUAUUAUUGUGGUAGCGUCUCAUUUAGUCCAUUCUACAUUCUAACUGUUUACCUGGCCAAAGGUGACCUUAAAUUCCUAUCCUCUGGCACCAUACCUGGUUUAUAUUGUACUAGAAAUCCAACCCCCUGGGCUUCUUGAAUGCUAGGCAGGUACUCUACCAACUGCACCACAACUCCAUCACCUAAUUAUGUGUCUAUAAACCUGACUUUAGCACUUUAUUUGUUAGCUUUUGGGUUUCUCUGUAUAGCUCUGGCUGUCCUGGAAUUCGUUCUAUAGGCCAGGCUGGCCUCUAACUCAGAGAUCUGCCUGCUUCUGCCAUCCUGGAUGGUGCUGGAUAAACUUUAAAAUGACUAAGAUCAAGGCACGAAAGCCUGAGGGAUCUUCCUGAGAGCAAUCUCCCUGGUAAAGCCUAAGGCAAAAGAGUGAUAAUAGACAGUCAAUGAGGCAGAAAGCAAGGCGGGGGGAGGAUGAGUCUGUUGCUGAUGAGACAGACUGCUAUUUAUCUAAUUCAGUGUUCAAACUCAGGAACAUUUGGGAGAGAGAGAGAGCAGAGGAGGGAGUUGCUGUGGAUGAGCCAGAGUCUCCAAAAACACUGUGUUUAAUGCUUUUAUUUAUGAUAUUUAAUUUUGAGAGCCAAAAAAAAUGAUAUAUUCUACAUGUGUAAUAAAAACUAGGAAAGUAAGACUGGGCAAACUGUUAUUGUAGGAUGACAACCAAGAUAUCGGAAAGUAACUCAUGGUAGGCCCCUGAUCCCAGGGAUGCCUGUGUGUGGAAAGAAUGACUGUGGGGGAUGCUUUAAAAAAUAAUAAUAAAAGGGGAUAUGGACCAAAACAAUUAGACGAAGCUUAUUCUAUGAAUUUACACUUAUCUUCUGUUUGGUAAUAGAUAUAAUAUUGACAGUAUUUUAAUUUUUUUGUAUUUUAAUUUUCUACUGCACUAUAUUUAAGACAAUAAUAAUUUUUGGUGGGGGAAGGGAUAAGAAAUAAAACUUGAGUUUUGCUAGUUCUACCUAGCAAAGAAAUGGCUUUCUUUGCUGUCUGGGAGGAAUGAUCAAAGUUGGUUUCCCUCUGGAAACACCUGCAGUAUCUUUUGGAUGGAUGUACCGGUAUCGCGCUCUGCCUGGGAUGGAGGUGGCUGCUGAGUGCCAAAAUGUUGGUGCCAUAAAUUAAAGCCACUCACAUGCGUCCUGGUGGACAAUCUCAACUCAGAUUCCAUUCUUGAAGCCGCUGUGGUCCCUGUGUCUACAUCAGCCAGACAGAUCAACUCCUCCUUCACCUCUCUAGGUUCCAGCCAGAUCCCCACAGAAGGAUGAGGGAGUGACUUAUGAUGGCAUGUGUGACAUUCCCUUCACUCCAUUGCCCUUCCCAGGCUGCUGGACAUAGCAGUGACAAUUAUAGUAACCUUGACUCCAUAAGGAAUGUGACGACUUGAACCUUAGCAAUGAGUCAUUCCAGAGCAAGAAUUUGUACACUAGCGCCUGAGCUGGUGACUAAGUUGUGGAAGCACCAGGCACCCAUCUAAGGAGAUAUGUUCAUGAGGCAGAAAUGGACUUCAUUAACAAUAAGCAAAAAUUUUCAAAUAUCUUUUUUUUUGGUCUGAAAAUAUAUUUGUCCUAAGGACCAAACCUGGUACUGAACUGGUCUAUUCAAUUUACUACUCAGUGACAUUCUCUGGUCCUCUGGAUGGCUGUUCUCCUCAAACAGCAAGUAGGCUGCCAUCUGUAUGAGAGCUAACUGGAUCUUUUGGAAUCCCAUAACUUACUACAUUCCUGAAAACUUGGAGGUGGUCUGGCGUGGGUUCUAAAUUCUCCAGAAAACUAAGAAUCUCCACGUGAUCCCCAAACCAUAGUUUGCUGUUGUGCUAUCUGCCAACUUCAAUUAAAGUUGGGGAUUCAGUAGCAGUGACACUCUAAGUUGGAGGCUUAGGAAUCGUCAGAGUACAUGAGUGUCCUGGAAUGGAGAUGGAGAGAAUUUAGAUUUCCUUUUUAUUUUCUCUCUCCUCUCUCCUCUCUCUCUCUCCCUCCCUCCCUCUAUCCCCUCUCUCUCUUUCUCUCUUUUUCUCUCCCAUUCUCCCCUCUUCUCUCCAUUUUCCCCACUUUCUUCCCCCUCUCCUCUCUCUCCCUCCCCCCUCUCUUUUAUAAAGGCUCUAGGGUUGACGCCAAGUGUGUAAUGGUUCUUGUGUGCUUCAGGCCUUUAUAAACACUGUUGGAGAAGGGGCUGUGGCAUGUGGAUACUGGUCAACCUACAAGAACCACUAAAUGCCUUUAGCCAUGGAACUAUAAUAUUGUGGAACAGAAAGAGAAAUGGGAGUGGCUGGCCAAGCGAUGAUUUAGACCUCAUGAAAUCAUAACACACUGUCUUAAACUUUGUAUUGGUAAAACAUUGGUCAUAUAAAUAACCACCAUGAUUCUGCAUAAAUUUAUGAAGAUGAACUUGGAAAAAAAACUAGAAAAAUAACCCUUGCAUAAGUGAAAAUUUUCAUUGUUCAGAAUCAAACCCAAAUUUUUCAUGUCUGUUAUAGGCAUUCCUGAUUAAAAAAAAAAAAAAAGCUUUUAAAUAUCUCAUCUGACAAUUAGGUGGAUUGGAUGGGGACCUGAAGCUUAACCUUCAUUUCUACAGUAAAUAUGUUCUAAUCAUUUUGAAGUUGCUUUGAGACUUUUUAAGAAGACUCUAGAGGAACCAGAGGAACAUAUUUUCUCGAGCAUGUUUACUGCUGUAGCUUCAUCAAAGAUACACACGAUUGUGACAUAGUUGUGGCAUAGAGAUGAUUGUGACAUAGUUGUUUCAUAGUGAGAUGAGACCAUUGCAAGCUGGUCUAGAAAAAGCUUGUUGAUCUUGGAUAAUCUUUGUGUCAACUUGAUGGAUUUAAAAUAAGCAUCGUCUUUCAGCAACAUGAUGGACUGAAACAGACAGUGGCCUUCAAGUGAUGUUGAGAGGACCACUUGAAUGGCUGAUCCUGAAGAAUGUGAGGUACCAUCUCAGGACCCCAUUAGGGAAUGACUGACUCUCUACUUCCUCUUCAAAUCUGGGGGAAUGCUAAACGUGACUCUCGUGUGGGAUACACAGUUAGUGAUAUCUGAGUUGGAAAAAAUGUACACCUUGAGCCAUCUGCUUGCCACCAGUCCCCAAAGCAUCUUUCCGACGCUGAGAAGCCAUGUUGGAACCUAAGAUUUUGCUCCACUGACUUAACCCCAAUGUUAAGCUAACAAUUUUUACAAGGAAGCGUCUGGAAAGAAUGAGAAGAGUUUCUUCAACCAUGUCAAAACUCAAGCAAAUGUAUUCAUAGCUCUUUGAUAUGUCAUGAUUGCCCUUCAGAUAAAUGUAAUCUAAGAGAUAUCUCUAUUUGUAGAAACUAAAAGAAUUCUACCCAAAAUGUGUCCUGCCUGCAAAUUGUGCAGGGGAAAAAGUAAAGCAGAGACUGAGGGAAUGGCCAACCAAUGUCUGCCCUGCAUUGAGAACCAUCCCAUGGGUACGAACCAAUCCCUGACACUAUUACUGUUACUCUGUUAUGCUUGCAGACAGGAACCUAAUAUAACUGUCCUCUGAGAGGUUCCACACAGCAGCCAAUGAAAAGAGAUGCAGACUCACACCUAAGCAUUGGAGGGAACUUGGGGAGUCUUACAGAAGAGUUGAGAGAACUGAGGGACCCAAAGAUGAUAGGGACUCCACAGGAAUACCAACAGAGUCAACUCAUCUGGACCCUUGUGGGCUCCCAGGGACUGAAUCACUGACCCAAGAGCAAGCACCAGCUCAACCUAGGCCCCCUGCACACAUACAGCAGAUGAGCAGGUUGGUUUUCAAGCAGGUUCCUCAACAACUGGAAGGAGGGCUGUCUCUGAGCCUGUUGCUUGUCUGUCUGUGGAUCCCACAACCCUAAAUGGAAGUCUUGUCUGGCCUCAGUGGGAGAAGAUGCACCUAGUUCCAAAGCAACAUGGGGUGUGUGUGUGUGUGUGUGUGUGUGUGUGUGUGUGUGUGUGUGUGUGAGUGACACCCAGAGGGGGCUUCCCCAUCUCAAAAGAGAAGGGGAAGGUGGAAUGGGGAGAGAACUUGCAUGAGGGGGUACUAGGAGAAGAGGAGGCUGACAUGGUGAUGUAAAGUGAAUAAAUAAAUGAAAGACUUGAUGAUGUCAUGUCAUGAGUUAUAUUUUAAAACAAAACAAACCUGCCUUGCCUCCUCUCCUUCGAGUAGCAUUAAUCAUGUUCCAACUGCCUGUGCUCGAGACCGUCACACUCCAUUGUAUUUAUACUCAGAACAUGUGAUAGUUAAAUUCAGAGGUGGACUUGACUGGACUAAGAGAUGCCCAGAUGGAUGGUAAAUCUUUUUGAAGAUGCCUGUGAGGGUGUUUCCAAGAGAGAUCAGCACUUGAUUUAGUAAACUGGGUGAAGAAGAUAGGACCUCGCCAGUGUGAGUGGGCAGCACCCAUCUGUUCAGAGACUUGAUAUAGCAAAGGAGAAGUGUGGAUUCGCUUCUCCUCUUUCUAUGGAAGCAUCUGUCUUCUGCCCUUGGACGUCACUCCUCUUGUUCUUAGGCCUUCAGACUCAGACUGACACCUACACUGCUUUACUGGGCAUCCAGCAUCCAGCAGAUCAUGAAAUUUCCUGGCCUCCGUAGGCAUCUAUAGAUGUAUCAAAAAAGCUCUUCAGAGGACAGCCAAAGAAUGCUGAAGACUUCAAGAGGAGUCGAUCUUUCUGGUGAUACUUGGAAGUUGCUUGAAGGUCCACCAUAAAUAAAAGGUCAAUGGCAGUUUUUAUAAGCAUUAUUAAAUUCUGGGAAACUUUCCAUACUGAAUGUGAAAUAGGAUCGCAGAGAAAAACGCUGAGCAGAUGAAGAACAAGAAGAGGAAGAAAACUGGCUCAUGGAUAAGGAGACAGCUGUUGAGUGUGUGAGAUCCAGAAGAUACUAGGCAUUGGAUGGGGGAGAGUUUUUCCUUUCGAUGUUUCCAGAGAAAGAUAAUAGAGUAAACAAACUAGGUAUCAAUAAUUGCAGCUAAGAGAAAAGUCGGAGAAACAAUAGAGUGUGCUGGAGGGUAACUAGCAGAGGCUGAGCUAGUGUGGUAACAGUCUACCUGGUUAGAUGAGGCCUCCCAAAGGUACAACAUUAAUUCCAAGGUCUCACUGAGUGGAGGAGCCCUGAGGACAUGCUGGAGAAGAAUCUUUAGAGCAGAUGGGAUGCGCCAGAGUCCCUGAGAUCAGAAAGAGUGUAUCUGUUAGACCCAAAAGAGGUGCUUGUGGGACGCAGAACAAGAAUCAGGCCCGUAAUCAGCAUCGGGAAGCAGAGCUAAGGCAGCAGGCAAUGAUGCGGAGGUCAAACACAGGAAUCUGAAUUUCCUUCUUGGAGUGAAAACAGAUCUGAUUUGUCCCUGAUACAGAAUGCUUCGCCCGCUGUGUGGCAGAGACUGGAUAACAGGGCGGUGAUUUGAAGCAGGGCGGGAUGGCUGUAGCCUGAAAGAGGGUUGGUGGUGGCAUGAGUCAGAUUCUGGCAGUGGAGACCAGAGAAUUGAAAUUACCAUGAUUAUUUGGCUACAGAGUGUGGAAAGGAACAUAAUUUCCAUAAACGUAAAAAUUGAGCAGAAAAUUGUGGCUAUACAAGGAAUGAGGCUAGAGAAAUGUUCGGUGCAAUGGCAACAUGGAGGUGAAUGGAAACCGGGCAGGGACUACAAACGAGGCCCGAAGAGGCCAGAUCGUGUAAAAUCAGGGUUACCCAGAGCCUUCAUCAUCAGCCACUGAGUGGUCAUAUGCAUAAAAGUGAUAUCAUGAAUCUCAUUUUGCGGAUCUUUCAUUACAGUACAAAGCCUUCAUUGAAAGGUCACGAAAUGGGACCUCAGCUCGCUGCCAUGGCAGCAGAACUUCCCAAGGGGAAAUCUUCUGGCUUAACACAGAGUGCCUACAGAUUCCUCCCACGACUGGAGUACCAGCUGACCUUCCACAUGAACAUUUGUGAGCGAGCAGUCCUCUCUCUCUUACUGAAUCCUUAGCUAUUGGAGGCAGCAUGGGGUAUCCAUAUCCGCAUCCUUCAUCCACAGUGUGCAAGAAACACUUAUUAUUUCUCAGAUGGCUUGACCUUGUGAUGAAUCUUUUUCAGCCUGGAAAGCAUGCGGGGAAGCUAUCUCUUCUUCCUCCUGCCUUUCAUCACCCUCAGACCCUACUCCUGUUUUCCCCUGACAAGGCACUGUAGUAAAAAUAUGUGAAGUUAAAUGCAUGAUGCUACUUUUAAGGAGAUAACCUCAUACACACCAGGCAAGCAGUGGGGUGAGACAGAAUGGCCAAAAGCUCUCCUGUGGAUUAAUGAAUCUUACUAUGCAAUAGUUCACGAUUAGAAUAAAUGGCCAAUCCUUCCACAUAACAUCUGUGUUUACACAUUAGAGGCACUACACAUUUUUAAAAAAGAGCACUAGGCAAGGCUAGCAAUAAUGAGAGAUUCCUCUUUAAACACUGUGUAUAAUCUGAAUAACAAUAAACCUUGAUGGAGAACGCCUGUAUUCGACAACAAUCUGCCCAAAACAGUGGUUGAAAAACAGAGAUUAAAAAUAAUGUACAGUCCUAGGAGGUUGUGUUAAUUAAGUUGAGGAGAGCGAUAAGAGCUCAGACAAUUGCAAUAAGAUGCAAAGUCUCUCUAUUAUCCUUUCGUGAUAGGAUCCACCAUUAUCUGAAAACCCACCACACUGGCAGCUAAUUCAUAUGUAGAAGUCCACGUGUAAAAUGUGUUACUUUCUUUUCUGUUUGGACAGAGGUGAUUUUUCAAAUACAGGGUUUGUUUAUUUAUUUAUUUUUAAUAGAAGAUAGGGGUUAGAUUCAUAAACACUAGCAUGACCAAAUAAGAUUACAUUCUCAUUUUCAAACUUCUUAUUAUACCAGGGUCCAAAACUCAAGUUAUCAUCCUCGCUUAAACUAAUUUAAAUACUAUUGUUCUUGUGGAUUUUAGUCAGAAUUCAGCACAGAAAAUGCAGUUGAGGGCUGUAACUAAAAGAUAUGUGCUGCCUCUGAGAGAUAAAGAUCAGUUGUUAGUUUUCACAUUUAUUAGCCUAUCAAAUGUUACUGUGAAUUAAAUGUCAAGACCCCUUUGGCACAGUCUUUUUUCCUUUUACCUGUUUUACUGUGAUUGUUCCAUUUAGCUAGACUCUGUUCAACAAAAUGUAGCUUAGCUAGCUGUGACACGAGCUUAAAGAGACAAUAAAGGCUUCUCCAGGAGCACAGAUUAGCACUGACAAAGCCCCAAUCAGCCACGAGCUGGACAUGUUUUCUGUCUUCCUCAUUUUUGCUCCACAAGAUAAGGUGAGGUAUGCAAUGGGAGACUCCUGUGUUAUAGUUAAUUUUAACCUCCAUAUCAAUAAGCAGAGGCCUUUUCAAGUUAUAAAAAGUGUGUCAUUAUUGUUAUCAACUGGAGAGAAUGAAGUCAUUGUUCUCAUAAUGGUAAAAAACUGGCAUGGAACGGAAGGGUGAAAGAACACCUCAGGCUGGAGAAAAAUCUCCUGCUCCCAACGAGCCACUUUUUGAUAUAAGCAAGACCACGUCCAGUGCGGAAUUUCUUCCUCAACUCAGCAUUCAAGUCAAAGAAAGAGACUUACAGCUGUGUCUCAGAAACUUGGUCUGUGAGUUGCUUGGCGAUACUUGAUUCAUGACUUCUACAAAGCAUAAAAAUUAGGGCAGACAUAUAAAUUAAAGACUUACUGAUGACAGAAGGUUACUUGGUGGGAGUAAAUGAAGUCUAUCAUAGGAAGAGGGCGGUAGAUACCAAGCCUAGGAAGAAGAGCUUCAUAGGAGCCGAUAUUCCUUCGCACCAGGUGACUUGUUGGCCUUGCUCUGCCCAGCCUACCUUGUACACCUCCCACCUCCCCCUAUGGAAGCUUAGGUUAGAUAUUACCUGAGGAAAUCGUUGAGUUCUGCAUUUUUCUGUCUUUGAUGUGGCUGCCAAGAUGGGAUAAUAUAAAAAUUCCUCUUAUAUUUCAAAGAACGUAUUUCGCCUAAGUUUAAUGAUCAACCUCAAACUCAUGUGACUGAAACUCAAGAGCGAUAGUGACAAUAAUAACGCAUGGGCCAUUCCUCUGCAGGAGGACAAGGAAGGGAUAAAUCCCACUGGAGCCCUGCAUUCAUGCUGCUGUGAUCAUCUUUCAUGAGGCUCCAGUAUCCCUACACUCACCAAGUGAAUUCUACAGUACUGAAAUUAAUCUUUGUUUAUGUGUUGUAGGGCCAUAUACAAAGCCUGGAUGAAAACUCACCAGCUUCGUGUUUCUCUCUUUGCAAUGAGACCUUUGGUUCCAGUUUCCAAGAGCCCCAGUUAAAUGUGACACCAAAAAGAUUCGAAUCAUAGUGUAUAAAUUCAACUUCCUUCAUUUUCUUUGUUUUCAUUGUUGGGGAGGUGUGGUGGUAGUGGUGAAUUGGGGGUCACCCUCAGCCCUUCCUUAUUACUGAGCUAUUAUAGCCCCAGCCUUUCCAGCUCUUUUCUAGCUGACAUAAUUUUUCAUUUCUUUUAUGUGAAGAUUAUUAUUUCAGUGAUUAACAGGUUUGUCUCUAAGGCACAAACUGUUCAGAGACAGUUUCAAGUGACAUGACCUAAUUGGGCCCUUAGCCAUGUACAUUCCUGAACUCUCACCCAGGAAAUACUGGUCAUGAUCUGUACAAAUGGCCAAGGGACAAUCCUGAAGGCUUGGAAUGCCUUGAAAAUGCUGUCAUAUCUGAGAGGUUUGGCUGGUUCUUUCCAUAUACACCCCUAUUUUAUAUUCAUUGAACUCGUUCUUGGAGUUAAGAGAUGGAGUUGUACUAACAUCCAGUUGGUGAUUUGAGAUAUUGGUAACCAUUACCAGGGAGUGGAUAAGGAGAGCUGAUGUUGGUGAAUAACCUACUGGACACUAAAUAGGCCAGUGUCCCCAGCUUGCAGCAAACAAACCACAUUCUUGCUUACUAGGAAGCCAACAAGAACUUUUCCAAAAUUGGAUUUCAUUUCACUUCUAACUCAAUUACGUGAAAAUUACUAAUUGUUCCCAACAAACUUAAUUAAAAUAAAUUACUUUGCCUCCGAAAUGGGUUUGGCUUAAAUGGAAAUGCCCAUUGAUGAAAAACAAUUAGACGUUUAUACACAGAUGCCACAUGUACAUAGUUUGACUUUAAAAGAACCGUGACUCGAUUCAAGGCCACUAUUUUCUUUCUUUUUCUGGUUUCAUUGUGAAUACUAGAGACAGCAACAGAUCCAAUUAACUUCUGUGGCUGCUCUGUUUCAAUUCACUUUAGUGCAUUUCAUUUAAUCGAUAGAAAACAUUAUUUGUAGUAGGAAGAAUCAAUUUUGUUCUCACUUUCUGCCUUCUAUCAUUGAAACUCUCAAUUCACAACUAUGCAAUUCAUUAUAUUUGCUGGCAAAUGUAUUUGUUUCCUAUUUUCCCAGUCAGCUAGAAACCCCCACAUGCAACACAGAUUCUUGCUACCUAAGGAUUUAUCAUAUCAGUACGAGUAUGACCUACAGACUUGCUAAAUGAAUGUUCAGUUGUUAAUCUGUACAGGAACAUUCAGGAAUGGUUUACUGAAUGACUUGCCAUUAUGGAAACAAUGAAGCCAGGAUUCUGCGUCUUGAGGUAGUAACAUCAGCAGCCUUCUAACAAGGGAUAAUCUUACUCAGCUGUCCAGUGAGCAGUAGAACACUACAAGUCUAUUUUCAAGGUAAAGACAGCCUUUCUUCUAAAUCAUCUUUGACCAACCUAAAUUCUAAGGUAUGUUAAGAAAGCUAAAAAAUGUAGCAGGGCCCAGGUGUCAUUAUAUCAUUACUGUAAGAUUUGUAUGCAAUUGUUCAUUUCCUUUAUAAACAACAUAGUAGAUUGGCAGAAAUGUUUACAUCUCUCUCUCUCAACUUAAAUUUGACUCGGACCUUUGGGCUGGCAGGAACUGUAGACUCAGUUGCCAUUUUCCUUCAUUGAGAAUAUUCCUGUUGGGCAAGGCUCUAGGAUGUUUCUAGGCCCAGAAGUUCUGAAGGAGCCCCAGUCACUGGUACAAACACAACCCACUACUAACCAUUUCUAUGUUUGUCUUCAGCCAUAGAGACCCUUGUUGCUACACUUGGGUCUGGAAGUCUCUGAUAAGGCUGGAGUAUUUAUAUAUUGAGGGAACAUCUUCCAUAGGGAUCUUAUAUGGUCAACUCUCAGAAGUCAUACCAACUCUACAAAGUACUCAUAGGAUGCAGACCUACCACCUUCUCUGGGUCUUGGUUUUGCAAACUCACUUUCCUAAGGCCUCCAAAGGUUGAAUCCUUUCUUCCUCUCCUUCAGAACACCUGCCUAAUCUUAAUCAUCUUUAGCCUUUUGCUAUAGUUUGGAACUGGAAUGGUCCUAAGUUUCAUUUGGUGAAGUCGGGUUCCAUAGAGAUUUUGGGGAUGCAGUAGAAUUUUUACAAGGUGCAACCAAGUGGGAGGAAGAUAACUCACUAGGAUUGUGUCCUUGAAGGGACACUGGUCUCUGGCUCUUCCUCGUUCUCUCUUUGCUUACCUGCUGCCAAGAGAUUACAUUUAUUCAAACAUACACUCCCACUAGGAUGUAUUUCCUCACAGGUCCCAAACAAUGUUGUCAAUAAGCCAUGCACUGAAAUCCCUAAAACUGUAAGCUAAAUUAAUUUUUUCUUAUAGUUUGAUUGUUCAGAUAUUUUUAGUCAUAACAGAAAAGUAGCACAUACCAUCCCAAAGAACAGAAAGCAUCCCUUACUUCUAUCAGGAAGUAGAGCUAGAAGAAUAGGAAAGUAAAUAUUAGAAGCUGCUAUUUCUACAAGGCAAUGUUUACCCACUAGUAUUUCAGGUAAGGAGGACUGGUGUUGGGUUGAGGAACAGGGAUAGAAAAAGAGAGAGAGAGAGAUUAUACAGAUAAACAAGUAUUUAAACCAAGUAUGUCAUCACCAUUAAAUGCUUUUGUCUUACUUUUAAAAAAUAAGUGUGUGCCUGCCCCUACCAGCAUUGCAGUUGUGGCUGCUCUGUUGCAUAUGUGUCAGCAGGUGGCAGAGAGGAGAGAGGCUGUGUCUAUGCUCAGUGUCCUGACCUGUGAACAUCUGAAUGAUUAGUAACCUCACAUUCCCUAAAAAAAAAAAAAAAAAAAAGCAAGCCUGAGGUGACUACCAAGCCAGCACCAGGGGCCCUCUGAGCAGGGAGCUAGCCUGAGAUGACCACCAGGCCAACACCAGGGGACCUCUGGGCAGGGAGUUAGCAUGAGAUGACCACCAGUCCAUUGUAGCACAGCCUGGCUAGGCUUCCAGGGUGGGGAAUGUGCUGGAGACUAGAAGAACCAGGUCUGGGACAUGACCUCAGGCAGGAGUGAGCCUGAGACAGAUAGCCCUCCUAUGGGGAUACGGUGAUAGGUCCAUGCAAGGAGUGAGCCUGAGACAACCUUUAGUCUGGUGACAUGGGGCCCUGAUAGGAAGCUAGCCAGAAUUGACCACAAGUCAGAGUUCCACACAACCCUUGGGGAGCAGACCAUGCCUUAGACAAGCCUGACUGGAGCCCUACUUCACAAGUAGGCCAUAGCACUCCUGAACCCACUGCUAAGACGAGCCUAGACACUCAGGAUGUAGGCACAAUGGAGAGAGGCAAAACUGGAGGGAAGUGAGGAACAGUCUUAUGUGAGUAGCUGGUGAUGCUAACUGGGACUAUGGUGGGGUCCUGGCCUGUGAAACCAACAGAGGACAUACCUGGGUCAUGACCCUACAGUAGCAGGGUUCAGUUACCACCAAAGGCCAGGUGUGCACCCUUGGUCUGGGCUGCCACCUGAGGGCAUUCCUGGUCUGGGAUGCCAACUGAAAACACUUUGAUGUCUGAGGGCUAUACAGAACUGGCCCCAGCCCACACCUGGGAAUCAGGGGAGAGCUGGCCUAAGGACAUGCCUGCAGGAUAG